rnacentral:tmRNA from 1 species
GGGGGCGAAAAGGGUUCGACGGAGGUAGGGAGAUAAGGGGUGCAUGCCGAGGUCCCACGCCUCGUUAAACAGUGGGGCACCUACAAGUGCCAACGAUUAUGAGUACGCCUUGGCUGCUUAAUUGACGCAGCCAACGCCCCGGGGGUUCGCCUGCAGGCCUCUGGAGGGCGUCAGAUAUGCAGGCUGGUCCCUGCUGAUGCUUAUAAAGCAGGGGCGAGAUCCUUAUAAGCUGUGCCCUGAGGGAUCCCGCCUGGGGGAGCCCUCAGGGCGAGAGGAAAACCCAGGCUAAGCAUGUAGGGCCCCUUAGGGAACUACCUCCGGACGCGGGUUCGAUUCCCGCCGCCUCCACCA